AUGGCCAAAAGUUACGACGUGAAGCCCAGCGGCGAUGCCACGGUCACGACAGUGCCGCAUCAACGUAUGCACGAGGCGGAGAAUAACAAGCCCACCGAGAAUAGCAAACCCACCGAGAACACUUCCUUGUCUCCAAACAACAAUCAAACCUACUUUGCCGAUGAGAGGGUGCAAGUGCCAGAGACAGCAAGUACGAGCUUCAGUUUCAGGAAAUUAUGGGCCUUCACCGGUCCUGGUUUCUUGAUGUCCAUAGCUUAUCUGGAUCCUGGGAACAUCGAGUCGGAUCUACAGUCCGGAGUGGUGGCAAGAUACAAGUUAUUAUGGGUACUACUAAGCGCUACUAUCCUAGGUCUCGUUAUGCAAAGGCUCAGCGCCCGCCUCGGCGUAGUGACCGGUCUACAUUUAGCGGAGAUGUGUUACAGACAAUACAAAAAAAUACCUAGACUUAUUUUAUGGGUAAUGAUCGAAAUAGCAAUUAUUGGUAGCGAUAUGCAAGAAGUAAUAGGAACGGCUAUUGCCCUUUACCUCUUAUCUAAUAAAGCAAUUCCUAUAUGGGGUGGUGUACUUAUCACUGUAGUUGACACGUUCACAUUUUUAUUCCUAGACAAAUACGGUUUGAGGAAACUGGAGCUCUUCUUUGGCUUGCUCAUAUCGAUCAUGGCUUUUACCUUCGGUUAUGAGUACGUCGUUUCCGAUCCUCCACAAAUAGAAGUUAUAAGGGGUAUGUUCAUUCCAUGGUACAGUGGGAUGAAUUACGAUAACAAAGUGCUGCUGCAAGCUGUAGGAAUUGUCGGUGCGGUUAUUAUGCCGCAUAAUUUGUAUCUUCAUAGUGCCUUAGUCAAAUCAAGAGACAUCGAUCGAAGACAGCCGGCGAAAGUGAAAGAUGCCAAUAUGUAUUACUUCAUCGAAGCCUCCAUUGCGUUGUUCGUUUCAUUCAUCAUCAAUGUAUUUGUCGUGGCUGUAUUUGCUCACGGUCUCUUCCAGAAGACAAACAACGAUGUUUACGAGAUUUGCGCGGAGAAUAAUUACACCCUUGGCAUGGAAACCUUCGCGAAGAACAACGAGACGUUCAACGCAGAUCUGUACAAGGGAGGUAUCUUCCUUGGCUGCUCUUUCGGCGCCGCUGCGAUGUACAUAUGGGCCGUGGGAAUUUUAGCUGCCGGCCAAUCGUCCACGAUGACGGGCACCUACGCCGGCCAGUUCGCUAUGGAAGGCUUUCUGAAUCUGCAGUGGGCCCGCUGGAAACGAGUCCUCUUCACUCGGACGAUCGCCAUAGUUCCUACAUUCCUGGUGGCGUUCUUCGCCGACAUGAACAACUUGAGCAGCAUGAACGACAUCCUGAACGCCAUAAUGAGCCUACAGUUACCAUUCGCCACCUUGCCGACAAUCGCGUUCACAAGCAGUGUUCAGAUCAUGGGUGAUUUCCGUAACGGAAUAAUGAACAAGAUCGUGGCGACUGCUCUGUCGGUCCUAGUGAUAACGAUAAAUAUAUAUUUCGUGAUACAAACCGUCCAAGAGGACCUGCCGCAUCAUUGGGCCAUAUUCUUAGGCAUGUCCGUGUACGCAAUCCUCUAUCUCAUCUUCUGCGCUUACCUGGCUGUCCAUAUGGCUGUGAGCAUGGGUGCAACUUCCCUUGGCAAUCAUUGGUUUGUCAGCAAAUACAUCGGUGCGCCUGUGGACACUACGCUCGGUAUAUCAAAUCCCGCCGUUUAUGCCAGUUUCCACAAUACGUCGGAAACGUCGUUAAACGCUUAGUCGGAGUAAUGCAAUUGAAUGUGCGAGACAAUAUGCGGCCUUUGUAUUCAACAAACAAUGUGAAAAACAAUGUCGCGUUGGAAAGGUGCUUAUUACAUCUCGUGACGUCAGCAUGAUGCCCUAUGAACAAAUCCAGCAUUUAGCAUUCAAGAAAACUUGAGUGGCAGUUUUACAUCUGUGGUACCAGAAUACUAACGUGUCACACUGACAAGUAUAUCGCCAAUGGAAUAUGUAAGUGAUAACGCGAGUGCCAUGAUAAGCAAGACUGCUCUUGCUGAUACUUGUACGAGAGGUAAUCUUUAAUGCCUUGCGGCAGGAAUGCCUUGCGUUGCUUACAGUCCAACGUUAAAUUCACAUGUGUUUUAAACAGAACAGAACAGAAGUUUUAUAAAUACGAAGAGAAUAGAACAUAUUAGAUGCAUUAAUAAAUAUAAUGAAAUGAAAAAUAAAGACAAUAUUAUACAAUGAUAUAUUUAAUAAAUUCUUCAUAUAUAUAUGUACGUUUCUUACACAUUAUGUAUUAUAAGAUAGUUUUACUUUGUACAAAUAAGACGUAGAUAAGUAUUUUAUUAACUUUUAGAUGUAGAUGAUCCAACUGUAAAAUGAAAUGUAAAAUAAUGUAAAUACUAUUUCCAACGCAAUAAUUUUUAUUGAUUUACGCAUAUAAAAUAGAUAGUCUGAUCUUAUGAUAGCAAAUACGGUAAAAUAACGUCGUCGAUUACAUAUCUCUAUUUAUAUCGUUGAAAAUAUUAAAAAAACUGCUC
rnacentral:misc_RNA from 1 species